rnacentral:rRNA from 1 species
AACGAACGCUGGCGGCAUGCCUAACACAUGCAAGUCGAACGAGACCUUCGGGUCUAGUGGCGCACGGGUGCGUAACGCGUGGGAACCUGCCCUUAGGUUCGGAAUAACUCCCCGAAAGGGGUGCUAAUACCGGAUAAUGUCUUCGGACCAAAGAUUUAUCGCCUUUGGAUGGGCCCGCGUUGGAUUAGCUAGUUGGUAGGGUAAACGCCUACCAAGGCGACGAUCCAUAGCUGGUCUGAGAGGAUGAUCAGCCACACUGGGACUGAGACACGGCCCAGACUCCUACGGGAGGCAGCAGUGGUGAAUAUUGGACAAUGGGCGAGAGACUGAUCCAGCAAUGCCGCGUGAGUGAGGAAGGCCUUAGGGUUGUAAAGCUCUUUUACACGGGAUGAUAAUGACAGUACCGGGAGAAUAAGCUCCGGCUAACUCCGUG